rnacentral:rRNA from 1 species
GACGAACGCUGGCGGCGUGCUUAACACAUGCAAGUCGAACGGAAAGGCCCUGCUUUUGUGGGGUGCUCGAGUGGCGAACGUGUGAGUAACACGUGAGUAACCUGCCCUUGACUUUGGGAUAACUUCAGGAAACUGGGGCUAAUACCGGAUAGGAGCUCCUGCUGCAUGGUGGGGGUUGGAAAGUUUCGGCGGUUGGGGAUGGACUCGCGGCUUAUCAGCUUGUUGGUGGGGUAGUGGCUUACCAAGGCUUUGACGGGUAGCCGGCCUGAGAGGGUGACCGGCCACAUUGGGCCGGGGAUACGGCCCAGACUCCUACGGGGGGCAGCAGUGGGGAAUAUUGCACAAUGGGCGGAAGCCUAAUGCAGCAACGCCGCGGGCGGGAUGACGGCCUUCGGGUUGUAAACCGCUUUCGCCUGUGACGAAGCGUGAGUGACGGUAAUGGGUAAAGAAGCACCGGCUAACUACGUG